AGUGAACGCUGGCGGUAUGCCUAACACAUGCAAGUCGAGCGACCGCACAGUAAGAGCUUGCUCUUACGGGUGGCGAGUGGCGGGCGAGUAACGAAUACAUAAGCAUCUUCUUUUUCUUGGGUGAUAACGGAGGACAGCUGCCGCUAAUACCGAAUAUUUCCUACCGCUUAGUUCAGGAGAGAUUCAGACCCUGGCUGAUUCAUUGAGACGGAGUCGGAUUAGCUAGUCGGCUGGGUAAAGGCACGCCAAGGCAACGAUCCGUAGCUGGUCUGAGAGGAUGAUCGGCCACACUGGAACUGAGACACGGUCCAGACUCCUACGGGAGGCAGCAGUGGGGAAUAUUGGACAAUGGGCGCAAGCCUGAUCCAGCCAUACCGCGUGAGUGAAGAAGGUCUUCGGAUUGUAAAGCCCUGUUGUUGGGAAAGAAAAUCAGCAUGUUAAUAUGCCGAUAUCCUGACGGUACCCAAAGAGUAAGCACCGGCUAACUUCGUG
rnacentral:rRNA from 1 species